rnacentral:rRNA from 1 species
UACGGGGGGGGGCAAGCGUUGUUCGGAAUUACUGGGCGUAAAGGGCUUGUAGGCGGCCAGGUAGGUCCGGUGUGAAAACUCGAGGCUUAACCUCGAGAUGUCAUCGGAAACCAUCUGGCUAGAGUGCGGUAGGGGAGAUUGGAAUUCCUGGUGUAGCGGUGGAAUGCGCAGAUAUCAGGAGGAACACCGAUGGCGAAGGCAGAUCUCUGGGCCGUAACUGACGCUGAGGAGCGAAAGCAUGGGGAGCGAACAGG